rnacentral:lncRNA from 1 species
GUCGAUUGACGAGAGCAUCAUGGAGGCCAGUUGGAUGUAUCCAUCACUUCAUGUCAGCAUGAACGUCUCCGAAGAGACCAUGUCAAGACCGAUGCCCAAAACCAAUCCCGACGGCUGACAAGGGAGCAGGUCGAGGUAAUGGCGGAAUCUUAGAAAUUAUGAAAGCUACAUUUUUUUUUAUGAUCAUAGGUUUUAUGUUUCGGGAAAAUAAAAAAAAUGUUUAAAAGAGAGAAUUUGUUACUGCUUUUGGUUGUUUAUCCACAAUAUUUCUCGUCUUGGUUUUAUGAUUAAAUCUUGGUGGUUGAAAGCUUAAGAUCAAAAAGUUAAUGGUCGAGUCGACAAAAGCAAAUGAUAGUUAAUAAAAAAUAAAUCACAAUUUAAUUUUUUUAAUAAAUAAUAAUUCACGAUUUAAUUGUUAAAAGAAGAAGGAAAGAUAAUUUCAUUUGGCAAGAAGAAAAGAAGAGUUUUAGUCGUAAUUGAACCCUGCAGUUAUUUAGAUAAUAGAAAACGAUAAUGGUGAAUAUGUUUUUUGGAAAAUAAUUAAUUCGUAAAGUAUACAAGGAUACCUGAAUGGGUAUUGGGUAGUGCCAUUAUUAAUAAAGCAAGAAUGAGGAGCCAAUAUUAUAAAAUAAAAUAAAAAAAGGGUUAUGUGUCAAGUAAUAAACAUGACAAGCAUUUCAAUCUUUUGGAAGAGAUGAACCGACGUAUGAGAAAGAAAUUCACCUACAGGAAUAGCUUGGAUAGGGGGAGAGAAACAAGGUAGUCAAUUGUACUUAAUUAGCUCAUUGGAAAAAAACAAAAAAGUAAGAAAAAGAGAAUAACUUAUGGAAAAGAAGGAAGGAGACACUUAUUAUUCAUUUUCAUUGAGAAUAACUUAUGGAAAGAAGGAAGGAGACAUUUAUUAUUCAUUUUCAUUUUAGAAAAUAAUAUAAUUUAUUAUUAAUUUUUGUUAAAAAAAUAAGGGAAUUUAUCUUGUCCCGCGGCUGUCUUUUUUAGGGUGCAUGAUUCUUCAUUUGUUUUUGUUUGUUCUCUUCUGAUUUGUGAAAAGAUGGAAUCUGAGUUUAAUAGGUUGUGAGAAAGAAGAUGCAGAGUUGGAGGUCGAAGUGGAGAAAAUCCAAAUUGAUAAUAUUUAUUAUGAUCUAUGUAUUGUUGGGAGAUUUUUGGGAGAGCUGGUCAUCAACUUUGUGGCAAUGGAACCGACGUUUCUUUCUCUCUGAAGGUCUAUCUAGGGUGUUAGUAUUAAGCAGAU